AGUGAAGGGAAGGACUGGAAAUAGUCUACAGUACUUGGGAGGCUUCGCAGUAGAAGCAGCUGCCUUGUUCAUAGUACGGUGCUGCCUCUGUCUGCUCAAGAUACCAGGAGAACGAGAGCUGUCCUUUCAGCACCACUUCUUCCCUAAACUGAAGCUGAGCUCAUUACUGGGAGAGCAGGAGCUGUCCUUUCAGCACCACCGCAGCUGGACCACUUCAAUUGCCAGGAGCUGUCCUUUCAGCACCACCACAGAUGGACUACUUCAUACCCUGAAGCUGAUCUAAUUGCCGGGAGCUGCCCUUUCAGCACCACUGCAACUGGACCACUCUAUCCCUGUACUGAAGCUAACGGAAACUGUCCUUUCAGCACCAUCGCAGCUGGACACUUCUUCCUUACCCUGAAGCUGAUCUAAUUGCCAGGAGCUGCCUUUUCAGCACCACUGCAACUGGACCACUCCAUCCCUGUACUGAAGCUAUCAGGAGCUGUCCUUUCAGCACCACUGCAAACGGACCACUUCAGCCAGAAGGAGGGGAUGGUGGAAAAGCUAAAAUGAGCAGGUUUUUACCCUUGAAUUUUUGGCCACUUUCUCUGACCAGCCAGUGUAAGCUCUUAUGUGUUCUUCUUCUUAUAGAAAUAUUGUAAGAGAGGGGGAAAUCACCAACCCAAAGCAUCUUUUGUCCCUUUUUUUUCUUUCUUUCUUUUUUUUUAACCCAGAACAAGUUGAUUAUUUGGGACCUGUUAUGACACUAUUACAUGCUUGAUACAAGGAUACACUCUGGAGCAGAUGGAUUUUAAAAAGUGUUAAGAUCUUUUUCCAAUGAACGAACCUGGAGCUUUCUGUCCCUGGCUGGAUUACUCAGAGAGUGGCAAUGGUCUCGGCAAUGUCUUGGGUCCUGUAUUUGUGGAUAAGUGCUUGCGUGUUGCUGCUCUGUCAGGGAUCUCUUCAUCACAGUUUCCAGCAACAUCACUUGCAUCAAUCAGGAUUUACUUCAGGACACUUCCUCGAUCACAGGAAACUGGGAGAAAUAGAAGGAGGAACUUGUGAAGUUAUAGCUGCGCACAGAUGCUGCAAUAAGAAUCGCAUCGAGGAACGUUCACAGACCGUGAAAUGUUCUUGUCUUCCUGGGAAAGUGGCUGGAACAACACGGAACAGGCCCUCUUGUGUUGAUGCUUCCAUAGUUAUUGGUAAAUGGUGGUGUGAGAUGGAACCUUGUUUAGAUGGAGAAGAAUGUAAGACCCUCCCUGAUAACUCAGGAUGGAUGUGUGCAACCGGCAAUAAGAUCAAGACCACGAGAUUUCAGGGUCACUUAUGACCAACUUGAUGCAAGGCAGGAUGGCAUCUGAGAGGCCCUGAAACCUUGUAGAUUCAUCCGAGAUCCUGAUCAUCUCCUGACAGAUAACACAGUGAUCAGCUGACAAGAAGAACAGCAGGCCAUAUUAAAUCUUACAGACUAUAUUAAGGAUUUACAAGCCAAAUUGGUAUUUUACUUGCACUUUGAAUUUUCAAACAAAAAAAAACAUUUAUGGAUUUCAAUAAUGUGAAAUAAAAUGACUCACAGCAAGAGCAAAAAAUGAUUUUAGACUUUUACAAGGAUGGCAGAAACGUUGGAAUAUGUUGAUGGUGGAGCUUGAAACUUGAGUUUCUAGACCUACAACUUCUGAAAAUCGUGUAUAUAUUUCAAUACCCAGCCUCGUAAAUCAGUGGAAGGCUCUUUGUUUUUUUUUUUACCCUUUGGAACUUUAUCAUAUUUGUAUCACUGAAGCAAGAUAAGGCUCAAACUACCCAAGAACUUGGAGCUGAAAAACACGUGGAAUCAAGAUCUUCCUUUUGUUCUUGAUCAACAUGCUGAUUAAAUAUAUUGAUUAUUUUUCCCUUCUAUUUUUUUCCUGAGACUUUCUAACCAUGUGUGACAAUAGCAUGCAGACUAUAACCAUGUCCAUGUUUUUAUUAUUAACUGGCAAACCUUAUGUUGAUGGCUCAGCCAUCUUCCAAUGAAGUAUAUACUUAUGUUUAGGAAGAUCCACAAGAAAGAUGAACAUGGAAGACUAACCAUAAGCAUUUCUAAAAUCCAUUGACAGCAGUAGAGUAUGAAAGGUUUGUUUGCAUUAAAGGUGUAAAUAGAAAUAAUGGUUAAAGGUUUUUUUAUCUGGGGCUGUAUGGAAGAAUCCUUAUCUGAUUCCACAAUUUUUGCACUUGAUUAUCCCUCGGAAGGAAAAAAAAUUCUUCCUUAACAUCAUUUGGUUUGUCGGUUUUUUUUAAAAUUCCUAGAAUUGCUUUUAUGGAGUUUGAAAAUUCACGUUAUUACAUUUGAAAGGGUUUUUAAUUUAAGCUGCAAUAUUUCUCAUAUUUCUGGAUAUUAUUAAACGUGUAUAACUUCUUAUAA